ACCAGUUUAGAGCCUGACCUGGUAACAGUUUUUGUUCCCAGCUUCAAUGGUGUAAUUUGUAUUUAUCUCUGUUUUUAAAAGUAAUAUGUUUCAGUUUGAGUGAGACAGUUUAAUACAAAUCCCACAGUGCAGCUUUCACUCCUGUGGGAAUAGGGGUAGUGGUGUGAGUUAGCAGGAGGUCAGCUUUUUCAUCUGCUACACCCUUCCUGAAUGACCUCGGGCAGGCCCUUCAGUCUCUUUAUGCCCCAGUCUGUCUGGCUGUGCAGACAAGAGAGGAAGGCACUGCCCCCCCUCACAGCCCUUGCUCUUUCACAGUGAGAGAAGAUACUUCUUGUGCAGAGAUCCCCUUCUGCCUGUGUUUGGAUGUAAUGGUCUGACCAUGAGCUCUAGAAACAACUGACUGUAACUGAUACUAAUAACAACACUAACACUCUGUGUACUUUUCAGUAUGCCUGCAUAAGGCAACAUCUGUGUGUGUUUAGAUAAGCUGGAAGCAGCUGGAUUUGGCCUCUGCACUGGCUGCUGUGAUCAUAGUGCAGGUCUCUGCUGGUCAGUGUGUGUGCCGGUGGGGAUGGCUGGGAACACCACUCUGUGUACUUUGCAUUCUCUAUAUUCAGUGCCUGCUUUUGGCACGCUCAUCUCUCUCACUUAUGAGUGAGUGGGUGAGGAAGGAGAGGGCUGGGCGGAGCUGACUCCUUCACAGAUGAACCAUAAGGAGCACAGGAGCUGAAACACAAUCUCCUCCUCCUUUCCCGCACUGUUUCACGGACAGCCUUGCUCACAGCUGGGAGGAGGACAGCCUCACCAGCAGCCUGAGAAGGAGUGAGGAGAAGGGAAGUUUUGUGCUCUUCACAUUGAAGGCAAAACUUCUUUGCAUAAACUCUGCUAACAGAAUCUGGCUUGCAAAACUUGAAAUGUGAGGAUUUGUUUAGAGAAAUGAAGUCCAUCAGGCUGUUCCUGCAUAUGCACUUGUAAAGACUUCCUGUUGGAUGAGUAAAGAGGCCCAAGAGUGCUGUUUCCAGCUUAUUUUACACCUGGUGCUAUACAGCUGAUACAGGUUAUUAACAUCCUGCAGCAAGUCAUCACUUCAGCCUAAAGAUUUGUGGAAGAAAUAAACUCUACAUGAAAACUGAAUGUAAUUAAGUCUUACAUUCAGGACCCUGAUGAGUAAUACACAGCGAGAAGUAGAAGAUGGCAAAUUUCACAGAGAAUGUGACUGAGAAGUGCAAUAUUAAUCAUGAUAUCCACGAGACAUUAUCCCCUGUGGUGUACAUAUUUGUUUUUAUAUUAGGCUUGCCAGCUAACUGCCUGUCACUGUACUAUGGGUAUUUACAGAUCAAAGCUAAAAAUGAAUUAGGUAUCUACCUUUGCAAUUUGACUAUAGCGGACCUGCUGUACAUAUUUUCUUUGCCUUUUUGGCUUCAGUAUGCUUUACAGCAUGACAACUGGACCUAUGACGAGCUGCUGUGCAAAGUUUGUGGCAUCAUCCUGUAUGAGAAUAUCUACAUCAGUGUGGGCUUCCUGUGCUGCAUCUCCAUCGAUCGCUACCUGGCUGUAGUGCACCCCUUUCGGUUUCAGCGCUUUCGGACCAUGAAGGCUGCUGCCAUUGUGAGCAUCAUUAUCUGGGCCAAAGAAAUUAUGACAUGCUGCUUUGUCUUCACACACGGGGAGAUCAGUAUGGAUGCUGAGAGCCACUUGGUGUGCUUUGAGCAUUACCCCAUCAAGAAAUGGGAGCACAAUGUCAAUUACUACCGCUUCUCUGCUGGCUUCCUUUUCCCCUUCUUUCUGCUGGCCUUUUCCUACUGUGGGAUUUUACGAGUUGUCCACAAGAGUCCCGGCACCCAAAAGAAGAAGAAAAUCCAAAUUAAAAGAUUGGUUUCAAGCACUGUUUGCAUAUUUUUAGUCUGCUUUGGACCAUACCACAUCCUACUCGUGGUUCGUAGCUUGUUGGAGAACAACUGCUCAUUUGCUGAGAAAAUAUUUAAUGUUUACCAUAUUUCUCUCCUGUUAACUACUUUUAACUGUGUUGCUGACCCAGUGUUGUACUGUUUUUCCAGUGAAAGCACUUACCAGAACUUUGUCAAGAUGAGAGACUCUUGUCUAACGUGUUUAGGCCAUCAGAGUACUGAGACGAAGGAAUCCUAUCCACUGAACACUACUGAACCUCCCAACAGAACACAGCAUGAGCAACAGCCAGGGUUAUUACAAAUACCUCUUGAUGGUGCUGGAAUGAAGGACUGCUUCACAACUGGUGUAGACAGCCUAUAGCAUUAAUCAAAAUUACCUUAAUCCUACAUCUGCAGCUAUGGUCGUAUUUAUGUAUCUGUCUGAAUUAUUCAUGUAUUACAACAGUGUGACCUCCCAAAAGCUUAUGAGCAAUGCUGCAGAGUGAAGUUGUUUCUGGAGGUGCUCGGACCCUGGAAAUAGUGAGGAAAGUAUGUGCUAGGUCAUUUCAGUUAUAAUCACACAUCUGUUGCUGUGCUACCACUUAAAACCUGCUUGUCUUGAUGACUGCAUUGACUGGAAUAAGCCAAUACUCAUGGUGUGUAGUUCUGGUGAACUCAUCUUUAGCUGCCUUCUGUUUGCCCCUGUAGCAUCUAGAGCAAGGAAUUCUCUUCAAACUGUUAUCAUCUGUUGAAAAGGUAUGAGACAGGAAAAAUUAAAUGUCCCCAUAUAUACUUUUAAAAAGAAAAAGCCCAACAAAACACUUCUGCAACAUCUCUGUAACUCUCCGAAAUAACAACUUCUGCCAGUUUCAAAGCCUGCAGAGACCAUGCCAGAACCAGAUUCCUAAAACAAUCAGUCCAUAGUGCGAGUUGUUAUGGCAGAACAUGCACAAAAGGCUCAGCACCUUUAUUUGUUAUUUGACUGUUGAAUCUCAGACUGUUAAACCUCAUCGUAAGGCUCCGAGAGAAUUCUGGAAGUAUGAGACUCUGGGCUCCAAGGGGUGUCAGUAACUUGGUUUGUUGACUUGGAAGAGAACAAGAGGUAAAGCACCAGUGCUCUAGAGAUGGUGUCAAAUGUACCCACCCCUCUCUGCUGCAAGGGCUGACAGCUGGCACAACUUCAGUCCUGACACUCACCUGGAGUUAAGGUAAAAUCACAGCUUUAAAUGACAAAUGCUGGUUCACCAUUUAUUGUGUACUCU